AGAGUUUGAUCCUGGCUCAGAACGAACGCUGGCGGCGUGGAUUAGGCAUGCAAGUCGAACGAGGGAGUGUUCCGAAAGGGGCACAAACCGAGUGGCGUAAGGGUGAGUAAUGCAUUGAUAACCUACCUUUGAGACGGGGAUAACAACGUUCCGCAAGGGACUCCCGAAAGGGUUGCUAAUACCCGAUAAAACUCAUGGUGCUUCGGUAUCGGGAGUCAAAGGUUUGGGGCUGAAAGGUUCCAUAUGCUCAGAGAGGGGUCAAUGUCCUAUCAGCUAGUUGGCAGGGUAAAGGCCUACCAAGGCGAAGACGGGUAGCCGGCCUGAGAGGGUGGUCGGCCACAUUGGGACUGAGACACUGCCCAGACUCCUACGGGAGGCUGCAGUCGAGAAUCUUUCGCAAUGCCCGGAAGGGUGACGAAGCGACGCCGCGUGUGGGAAGAAGGCCUUCGGGUUGUAAACCACUGUCGGGAGUUAAGAAGUGUAAGGGGGUGAAUAGUCCU
rnacentral:rRNA from 1 species